rnacentral:rRNA from 1 species
UUAACUGAAUCCAUAGGUUAAUGAGGCGAACCGGGGGAACUGAAACAUCUAAGUACCCCGAGGAAAAGAAAUCAACCGAGAUUCCCCCAGUAGCGGCGAGCGAACGGGGAGCAGCCCAGAGCCUGAAUCAGUGUGUGUGUUAGUGGAAGCGUCUGGAAAGGCGCGCGAUACAGGGUGACAGCCCCGUACACAAAAAUGCACAU